GACGAACGCUGGCGGCGUGCUUAACACAUUCAAGUCGAACGGAAAGGCCCUGCUUUUGUGGGGUUCUCGAGUGGCGAACGGGUGAGUAACACGUGAGUUACCUGCCCUUCUCUUUGGGAUAACUUCAGGAAACUGGUUCUUAUACCGGAUAGGAGCUCCUGCUGCAUUGUGUGGGUUGGAAAGUUUCGGCGCUUGGGGUCGGUCUCGAUCCUUAUCAGCUUGUUGGUUGGGUAGUGGCUUACCAAGUCUUUGACGGGUGGCCGGCCUGAGUGGGUGACCGGCCACUUGGGAACUGCGAUACGGCACAAACUCCUAGGUGAGGCGGCAGUGGGGAAUAUUCCACAAUGGGCGGAAGCAUGAUGAAGCAACGCCGCGUGCGGGAUGACGGCCUUGGGGUUGAAAAACGGUUUCGCAUGUGACGAAGCGUGAGUGACGGUAAUGGGUAAAGAAGCACCGGCUAACUACGUG
rnacentral:rRNA from 1 species